CGGCAGCGCGUCAGUCUCAUAAUCUGAAGGUCGUGAGUUCGAGCCUCACCGGGAGCA
rnacentral:tRNA from 1 species